GACGAACCGAGCGAACGUUGUUCGGAAUCACUGGGCUUAAAGGGCGCGUAGGCGGGUGCUCAAGUUCGGGGUGAAAUCCUCCAGCUCAACUGGAGAACUGCCUCGGAUACUGGGUGCCUCGAGUGUGGUAGGGGUGUGCGGAACUAUCGGUGGAGCGGUGAAAUGCGUUGAUAUCGAUAGGAACUCCGGUGGCGAAGGCGGCACACUGGACCACAACUGACGCUGAGGCGCGAAAGCCAGGGGAGCAAACGGG
rnacentral:rRNA from 1 species